rnacentral:rRNA from 1 species
UACAGAGGAGCCAAGCGUUGUCCGGAUUGACUGGGCGUAAAGCGCACGCAGGCAGAUGCGCGCGUGGGGUGUGAAAUCUGGCCGCUUAACGGCCAGGCGCCAUCCCAUACGGCGCGUCUGGAGUGAUGCAGAGGUCGGUGGAAUUGCCGGUGUAGUGGUGAAAUGCGCAGAUAUCAGGAGGAACACCGAUGGCGAAGGCAGUGUUCUGGGCCAGUACUGACGCUGAGGAGCGAAAGCGUGGGGAGCAAACAGG